CCACUUCUCACUAAACCCCGAUUCUUUCCGGUUUCCGUACAGAUAAACUAGAACAAAAUGGUGAGUUUCAUCUAUCCUAUAUUGAGUAUUGAAUGAUUAGUUAGUCUUAAAAGUUUAGAAAUUAACUUGUUGAUUAUUCCUUUUUUUUUCUUUUUAUUCCAUAGUCGGCAGAUGACUUGAGUGCAGAACAAGUGGAAAGUAUGUAUUUCUAGUGUAUCAAAUUAAUACUAACUCUAUAAAUUCGAUGAAAAAUAUUAUUGUCAAUUAAAUUUUUGCGUUCAAUUGGGAAUGUCUUAAUCACUGAUCGCAUUUUUUUUUUUUUUUUUCACUUUAUUUUACGCCAACUGGAACUAAACUCGAGCGAAUUAAAUAAAACUGCAUUUUAAAUUUAGCUGUUGGAUUUUUUGAAAAGAGAAUGCAUUAGAGAAGUGAAACAAUUAAGUUUUUUUUUUCCUUGAAUAAAUUCAUUUUUAUUUUUUCAUCGAAAAUUUUCUGGUAGAUAAAAUGGAUAAGCGACUGAGAACGGAGUCAAAGAAUCCAAAUUUGUUUUUCCAGAUGUCCGCAUAGAUCGAAUUUUCGGACUAUUGGUAUAAGAGAGAAGAAACGCGGGAUGUUUAAUUUAAGCAUGCCGUUGUGGGGAGCCAAAUUUGGCGAGGACAAGGGAAAGCCGCAUUGCAGUACAGCAACGGAAUCAUGUUACUCGCUGCAUUGUUUGGCCGUGUUUGGCCUAUUUCCCAUCGCAAUGGACGUCUUACCUUUGGUUUUAUCGUGUCGUCUGUUUAUAAUCAACGAAUGUGCGAAUCAUGCGAUCAUGGAAAAAAACGCUUGCCUUCCAGUGACAUCAUUGGAUUUUUGCAUGACUAAUUUAUUGUAAAAAUCCUCAAUUUUUUAAUAAAUUUAAUUUGCGAAAUGGCAUGAUUUCUAUUAAUUUGAUAAGCUUAUAUCCUCAUAUUUCCUUACCUUUCUC
rnacentral:lncRNA from 1 species